rnacentral:rRNA from 1 species
AUGCUUAACACAUGCAAGUCGAACGGUAACAGGUGUAGCAAUACAUGCUGACGAGAGGCGGACGGGUGAGGAAUAUUUGGGAAUCUGCCCAUCAGCGGGGGACAACCCGGGGAAACUCGGGCUAAUACCGCAUACGCUCUACGGAGGAAAGCCGGGGACCGCAAGGCCUGGCACUGAUGGAUGAGCCCAAAUCGGAUUAGCUAGUUGGCGGGGUAACGGCCCACCAAGGCGACGAUCCGUAGCUGGUCUGAGAGGACGAUCAGCCACACCGGAACUGAGACACGGUCCGGACUCCUACGGGAGGCAGCAGUGGGGAAUAUUGGACAAUGGGGGAAACCCUGAUCCAGCGACGCCGCGUGGGUGAAGAAGGCCUGCGGGUUGUAAAGCCCUUUCGGUAGGGACGAAAGCUCUUGCUCUAACAAAGCAGGAGGUUGACUUAACCUACAUAAGAAGCACCGGCUAACUCUGUGCCAGCAGCCGCGGUAAUACAGAGGGUGCGAGCGUUAAUCGGAAUUACUGGGCGUAAAGCGCACGUAGUCGGCUUGUCAAGUCGGGUGUGAAAUCCCCGGGCUCAACCUGGGAACUGCAUCCGAGACUGACUUGCUAGAGUAUGGGAGGGGAAGCGGAAUUUCUGGUGUAGCAGUGAAAUGCGUAGAUAUCGGAAGGAACACCAGUGG